AAAACAUUUUAUUAUUUUUUGGGUAAGAGGCUUUUUUUGUAACCGUUAAAUUUGAAUUGUUUAUUUACGUCAACGAUUUACGUUAAGUUCUGCUUUCCGUUUGCCGUUAUGGUUUUGUUAUAUUUGUUCAUUUUUGUAUGCACUUUUAUAGAAAAUUAAUCAUGCAAGAAAAUUUGCAAAUAAUAUUGAAGAACUGCAAAAGCUCUUGAAGGAUGAAAGUGAGCGAUGCAACCUGCAUAAACAAAACUAUCAAGAUAUAAAGGAUGAGUAUAAGAAGUAAGGUUAUCAAGUGAUGAACCGCAAAUUUUCAAAAUUGUGGUUACAGGAGGAAUUAUCUGCCAUAUAUGAUCAGUUGAAAGAAACAAGGUCUAAAAAUGAUGUGAUGAAAACAACGCAUCAUUCUGAAAUAAUCAAGUUGAA